UACAGGGGGUGCAAACGUUGCUCGGAAUUAUUGGGCGUAAAGCGUGCGCAGGCGGCUUCGCAAGUCAGGCGUGAAAUCCCCGGGCUUAACCUGGGAAUUGCGCUUGAAACUACGGUGCUGGAGUGCGGCAGAGGAAGGUGGAAUUCCACGUGUAGCGGUGAAAUGCGUAGAGAUGUGGAGGAACACCAAUGGCGAAGGCAGCCUUCUGGGUCGACACUGACGCUCAUGCACGAAAGCGUGGGGAGCAAACAGG
rnacentral:rRNA from 1 species